CCUCGUAGGUUAGCUUGGACAGACUACAGGCCUGCGGAGCCUGAGACCUGGGUUCGAAUCCCAGCGGGG
rnacentral:tRNA from 1 species